GUAAUCGUCAUUGCUGGGGAGCAUGCCUUUGUCAGACACAGGGUAGCUCUGUGGGAUUCCCAUAUGUGUUUUGUCAAAGCCGUGGUAGGUAGCAUCAUUAUGACUUUAGGUCUGAUGGGGGCGGGAUCGACAUGACCGAUAAAAAGUGGUGCCCUGGAGUUAUUGCUGACUCCAGCCCCACCCACUGUGGUUGUUGCUCCUGGGUUUGUGCUAUGAUGAUGGGGUUAAUGUUAGCUGCAUGGUAGUAAUGGUGUAUAUUGG